ACCCGCUGAACUUAAGCAUAUCAAUAAGCGGAGGAAAAGAAACCAACAGGGAUUGCCCUAGUAACGGCGAGUGAAGCGGCAACAGCUCAAAUUUGAAAUCUGGCUUUCGGGCCCGAGUUGUAAUUUGUAGAGGAUACUUUUGAUGCGGUGCCUUCCGAGUUCCCUGGAACGGGACGCCAUAGAGGGUGAGAGCCCCGUCUGGUUGGAUGCCAAAUCUCUGUAAAGUUCCUUCGACGAGUCGAGUAGUUUGGGAAUGCUGCUCUAAAUGGGAGGUAUAUGUCUUCUAAAGCUAAAUAUUGGCCAGAGACCGAUAGCGCACAAGUAGAGUGAUCGAAAGAUGAAAAGCACUUUGAAAAGAGAGUUAAAAAGUACGUGAAAUUGUUGAAAGGGAAGCGUUUAUGACCAGACUUGGACUUGGUUAAUCGUCUGGGGUUCUCUCCAGUGCACUUUUCCAGUUCAGGCCAGCAUCAGUUUUCGCCGGGGGAUAAAGGCAGCGGGAAUGUGGCUCUCUUCGGGGAGUGUUAUAGCCCGCUGUGUAAUACCCUGGUGGGGACUGAGGUUCGCGCUUCUGCAAGGAUGCUGGCGUAAUGGUCAU
rnacentral:rRNA from 1 species